AGACAAGAGGAUGAAGGAGAAACUAUUCAGUACUCACUGGGAUGGAAAUAAAGAGCUCUGCAGUGAGAAUCUCAAAAGCUUUGUGACCUAACAAUGAGACCUGCGGAGAAGGCAGGGCCCCUGACUUGGGAGACAAACUCAGUAACAGAAACUUGGCAGAGUUUUGACUUCUUUCGACUUGGGACAAAGGCAGAAGAAGUAGUAAAAAAUAAUUGAAGAGUGGUUUAUUAUGUCUGUGUUGCAAAGGGGCAGGAAACCACAACUUUGAAGACGUGGAGGAAAUGGUUAAGGCAACACUGUGAGCAAGCAACGGUGCUAACGCUGGGGAAAGUGAGGGCAGAUGAGGGCAGCUAGGACUGUAGAGUCGCCUAGAAAUUAACAUCCCUCCCGUUAGGAGAAGCAUGCUGCGUGUGUGACUUUGAGAAGUCAGUUACACUGACAUUGGAACUUUGCAUGAAUGUUCGGGACCAAGCCAGAUACCAAACGGUAGCAGCAGAAGAUGGGUAGAGAAGACUCAGUGUGGGCCCAGAGACAAACAUACCCCUCACCCCUCAUCAAGGAACGCCUCUUUGUAAAUGUAACAGACAGAGACUACGACAGAAAACCAUACAGGGUCAAAAUGCAGAAACUAAGUAAUGGUGUGGUGUCAGACCCCAACUGCUACAUCUGUAACACCCCUGUGCAGCUAAGCCACAAAGUACAUCCCAGAAGGGAAAUGUCAUGGUAUUUCAAGUAUCAGAAGAACUGGAAGCUCCGGUAAGAAGUCUCCUAGAAAUGAUAGGGAAGUCUCAAAAACAUGGCUGCCUAAACAAUACCUGGACUGGAUUACACCAAUAGACACGCUAACACGGAAGAGGAGAUCCCAAAGAGUCCCAAAUCCGAAACAAGUAACUAUAGACAGUUAGGGAAUUCUGAGAGUGGAAGAAACAACCUUUCCCAUGGAGGAGCGCCCCCCAACUGGUUAUCUAUCAGCAAGUGGUCAGCCCUGAAACCAUAUGCAUACAGGAGCUUCUGAGUGGAUCCAAGAGAUUCAAAUCCAAUUUGGCUGGACCUUCAACCAGUGAAAAUGGAAACUGAUAUACUAUGUGGUCCUUCUUGGUGACCAAAGGAUGCCACUGCUCUUCUGCUGCAAGAGAAAGGAAGACGAAGAAAGAAAACACGUGACUCACUGACUUGCUUCAAGCUGCUAUCUGCUAUUUCCCUGCCUGGUACAGAUGUCCAGGGUGUCUGUGAGCUAACCUUAUCCACUGGUUUAGAUGCCCAGCGUGUCUGUGAGCUAACCUUACACACUCAUAAUAAUCCUGCCUGGCUAGUUCUACAAGGUUGUCUACUAUCACAACACCAUCAGUUCUUAGCAAAGUAUUCUCUCUCUCUCUCUCCCUCUCUCUCUCUCUCUCUCUCUUCCAUUCCUUCCCUCCCUCCCUUUCUCCCUCUUUCUUUUUUCUUUCCUUCUUUCUUCUUUCUCUCUCUCUCCUCCUUCCUUCCUCUCCCUACCUCUUUCCCUCCCUUCUUGCUCAGAUUUCUGUUUGCAUUGUUGUGGGCCACUUAUGAGACUGACAUUAAGGGAGAAUCUGAAAAGAGAAUCUCAGAGCCCCUUUACAUGUCAAAGUGUCCAGGUGCUGAUUAAAACACCACCUUUGUUCUAUUUCUGAAUUAAAACCAAUGGUAUGGGAUCUAUUUAAUAGGAGAUUUUAGGAGAAAAAGGAUGCUCCUUCAUUCAAUGUAAAUAUAAAAUCAACUCCAAUUUUAGAAAUGCUAAAAAUGUGAUAAGUGGGUAUCUUAGAAUGGUGGCCAUGUGUAAUACACGGGAAUAGAUUGUUUAAGAGACAAAUGGCACUUCACUUUUAUUUAUUUUUAUUUUUAUACUGUUUUCACACAGAGCUCUGUUACCCACCAUAUAAUUAUUACAUCAUCAGUCCAGAGAUGCUCUAUGAAAAGAACUCAGAAUUAACUACCAUACAUACUUUUUCAUCUUCCUUCUCAUGAAUCGUUUCUUACAAGGCUUUUGGGUAACAAGCUCCAACAAAACAAAAGAGAUAAAUUAAGAAACAGGAAGAAGUGGCCCCCAAGAAAUAAUUUAACUCUAGACAGCAGUAAUGGAAGUCUUAAAAUAACCUGGGAAAAGGGCUCUCAGAACAAGAGUGUCUCAGUAUAUGGAGGGCAAAAAGUCCUUGUGCACAGAGAUAAGCAAUGGAAAAGUCAGGAAAGCUAACUUCUGAAGCAUUCUACAAAGGAAAGAGAUAUUUAACCUGUUGCCCUCCUGAAAUUUUGGGAAUAGGUAUAUUUUAUGACCUGGGAUUUUUUGCUGUCAGAUGAACUAGGCUCCACCCAUAGCUUCCAGAAUGUAUGUUUUACUUAUGCUAGAUCGUUUCCCUAUAAAUAUUGAGCAUAACUUCCAUGCUAUAAAACUCAUCCUUAUAUGGAUAAUGUUACUUGUCCUAUACACUAGACUAAGUGACUUCUGUGUUAUCUUAGGGCCAGGCCAAUCUCGACAUCCACAGACAUUAUGUUUACCUCAGUCACUCACUCUCCCUAGACCUUGAAUCUUGGGCACUAGCUCAGAGUCAACAGUACCCACCUUUGUGCACACAGAUCAACAAUGGAAAAGCCAGCAAAUUUCAGCACAAACAUGUCUUAAGCUCUGCUAUACU